CGCAAACACAGAGGAAGGAGCUCUGUGCCUUGGUGACAGGCAGGCUUCUCAGAGGAGGGGUAUGCAGACUCACUAACAGAGAAGUCUUUGCCUCCUUUGUUCAUAGGCACUUACCUAGGAGCCAGCCAAAUGUCGCUAUUGUGACACAGAAGACAGAGAAAGGGAGCUGACAAAGAGAGGAGAGGUCACGCAAGGGGUGAUGCAGAGGUGGCUUAUUGGAGCAGGAGAUGUGUUCCUGAGCAGUCAACGUGUGACAGAAUCCUACCCGAAGGCACCAAGAAAGCUUCCUCUACGAAGAAACUCUUUAGAAUCUUGCCUAAGGGCUAAACCUGACUCUGGAUCAUGGCUGUUCAGAGCCUCUUCUCUCUCUAACAACCAGAGGGCCAGAAAACCUUGGAUAAUGCCAAAAGUAAACAAACCUGAGGCCACAGAAGUCUUUGAUUACAUUCCAGUUGGGAGGUCCUCCAAGUUUGUCCUCAAACCAGCCAGACCGUGGCCUCCCAGCCCAGCUGUAAGGAAGAGCCAAACAGCUUGCCUCUUUCUGCAGCUUUAAUUAACCCCUGAGCCUUGUCAAACCAGUGGGAAAUGCUUCAAGAUGAGAGAUUCAUGAGUCAAACUCUUGAAACUUGAAAAUGGAAGAGCGGGUGGCCCCUUCAGGAAUCUGAAGGAAGCAGGGUAGAGCAUGGACUUCUUCUGCACCAGUUCUAGCAAGCACUUAGGUCAUUUGAGCUGCUCCAGGAAGAUCCAUCAAGACAAAAUGCCAGGGCAGAGCAGAACUGCUAGCCUUCUAAGUCUCUGCCAAACUCUGCCAGUGCCCUCUGUCAUUCUCAGGACAAAUUCCCUUCUUUCGUCUGUUUGCACCUGCUAAGUCUCAGUGCCAGGAACAGUAACCCACACCCACUCAGUCACUGCGUAAAGGCAUAUGAGAAAAUUCCCGGCUGCUGUCACUCAACGCCUUCUCCCCUUCAUCCUCCAGGACACUCAGCCUGAAGUGAGCAGUAACUACAGGAAGAGUUCUGAAUGUCAGAGAAACAGAGUUGCAUGGCCCUCCCACCUCCAAAUAGCUGGUGAAGUUUCCAUCUCCUCUUCCUCCCUCCUUGCACUAACUCAUGAGGCUGGAAUCUAAUCAACUCAACGAAACCCUUUGUUUAGAUCCAAUUAUAGUGAGAUCCACAACUGACUACUCGUCAGAUUAUCCUCUCCUGAAAUUGUCACGAUAAACUGUUGUUAUAUGGUUAGAGAGAUCUCUGCCAGGGAUCCACUGUGUUCUCUCUUCAGAACUGCGAAGAAAGUGAGGACAUCAUCUUUCAUCAAAACCCUGGGAAGAGAACAUUGCAGGGUUCAAAAUCAUAGCACUAGACCAUGUAUCAAGUCUCAGGAAGAAAUUAAAUAAAAAGAACUUUUGGUACA
rnacentral:lncRNA from 1 species